GAGCAGAAACUACACGAGUCGCAGUCGAAAACGGUCCGCGAACGCGCGUACCAAUGUACCGCUGAUAACAAAAUUAGCUAAAUCGACUCGGCUACAUACGUAUCAAGCAUGAAACUAUUCUCGACUGUAUGGUUUCUGUUAGUCGUUAGUUGGUGCUCCGAAAGUACGCCCACGAGAAGGCUCGUCGAGCAGAAUGUCGUGUCUGACAAGAGUCUACAGGAUACCGAUUUGCUCUUAACGUUCGUGGUAUUUCGUCAUGGCGACCGUACACCGGAUCAAGAAGAACUGGCGUUGUUUCCGUCAUCUACACAGGGCAAUAAGGACUUGUUCUACCCUUACGGAUUGAAGGCAUUAACAAAUAUGGGUAAACGUCGAGCCUGUUCAGUCGGGAAAUAUCUCAGAAAGAACUAUGAUGGAUUCCUUUCGAGGUUAUACCUACCAGACGAGAUUGUUAUCCGCACUACGGAUUAUGAUCGCACUAAAAUGACAGCUUUAACUGCGAUGGCCGGAUUGUACCCACCAGAGCCGGAGCAACGAUGGAACCCCACAUUAAACUGGCAACCCGUCCCAUAUAACACUCCACCGCGCGAUGAAGAUGACUUACUAUAUUACUACAACUGCCCUCGUUAUAUUGCACUAAGAGAUGAAACAGCUAGUUUGCCGGAAAUCCAAGAUUUAUUGGCGCCGUACAAAGACCUCUUUCAAUAUUUAGAACAGCACACGAAAACUAAUAUUACUACAUCGGAAGAUGUUUUUUAUUUAGACAAUCUAUUUCAAACACUGAGAAAUGUCGGCGUUGAAACGCCAAAAUGGGCACAGGAAGUGAUGCCGCAAAUAAAAGAAGUUACAAAAAUCGAAUAUGCCAUUCAGUAUUAUACUCCCGAAUUGAUAAGACUAUCAGCUGGGGUUUUGUUAAACGAAAUCUUAAAUGCGACCGCUUCAUAUUUGUCCGGUGAUACCGAGCAACAUAAAGCACGUUUGUAUUCGGCACACGAAAACAAUGUAGCGGCAAUAAUGGCAGCCGCUAAAGUUUUCAUACCUCAUCAGCCUAAUUACGGGUCUACGAUAGCCAUUGAAUUCCGAAGGAAUCGCACUACCGGAAAAUAUGGUUUCGCGGUAAGUCUGGAUUUCACGAAAUUUACAAUGUUUUUCCUUCUUUCUAACACUUAAAAUAUAUUUAAAGAAAAAUGUAAGCCACUAUCACAAUAUACCUACUGUUACAAUAAUUCUGUCUUUCGUUUUGAUUAUUCGUACUUUGGAGCAACGCCUUGUGAAAUUGAUAUGAAAAAUUCAGUGGUGAUCUAUUUAAAUAUUAUUCACACACCUGUUUAAUCCGGAAUCUUUUCAGAAUCAGAUACUUCUAUAUUGUGAAUAAUACAAACGACUGUUCGAUGACCUUCGAUAAAUGACAACCAUGCAACUACUAAGGUGAAGUAAUUUAAAUUGACCGUGAAAUUAAAACCAUUAAUCUAUUGCUUUAAAUAUUGACUUUCAUGUAAACUUGAACUUUGUUUUAUUUUGUUUUAAGUUUAAUAAAUUUAGGAAAACGUUUGUUCUUGUGAAACCUCUGUCACAAAUACAAAAUCACAUUCGUGACGAAUUAUCGUGAAUAGGAUUUAUUUUGUACAAUGUUAUUUUCAGUAAAUAUUAUGACUGUGUCUUGUGUGUUUGUUAAAGCUUAUUAUUAUUGUGUGCUCAGGCGGUGUAUGCAUGCGAUGCCGGCGGCCCGGGGAAGGUCCUCUCCGUAGACGGAUGCGGCGGAGAAGCGUUUUGUGAAUACGAAAAAUUCGUCAAUCUAGUCCAAUCUUAUAGAAUUACAUUAGAAGAUUUUGAAUACAUCUGUCCGAUAUUAACUUAAGCUUGAAUUGAAUUUCAAUUAAUUUGUUUGUUAGUUUGUGUUUCAUUGAUGCGAUUUAAAAUUGUUGUUUAAUAAAAUGGCUGUGAUUACGAAAGAAAGGUUUCUG